CUUCUUCUUCUCCUCCUUUUGAUCUGCGAUUCAUCUUGGGCAGACAUAUGUAAGGCUUGGGCUCUUUCUUACUGCGUUUCUGAGCAGUAUGUCACCUCAGGUGGUCUUUUUGGUCAGAAUGAGCUCAUUCUGAAACCUGUGGGAUUCGGAGAAGUGAAAGUCCCGCUCACGAGUCUCUUUCACAGCCUAACCAGAAAACAGGGCAUGGAUUAGAGCAGACCAGGCACUCCAGAUUUGAGACUGCACCCAACCAGAGACAGAUCUGGGGCUGUGACCCCCAAAACACCUCUGCAGACUCAAGCGAUCAUGCCUAAACACUUCACCUGGAAGUUGACUUGGCGCCCCCUGGCUGAGAAGAAUGAAACGUCAGGCAAGAA